rnacentral:rRNA from 1 species
UGACCCUAAGUCAGGCGAGGCUAUCCGCUGAGUUUAAGCAUAUCAAUACACAGAGGAAAAGAAACUUACAAGGAUUCCCCUGGUAACGGCAGGGGAACUGGGAAGAACUCAGCUUUAAAAUCAGGCAGCCUUGCCGUCCGAAUUAUAGUAUGGAGAAGCGUCCUCUGCAGCAGACCGGGCUCAAGUCCCCUGGAAAGGGGCGCCAGAGAGGGUGAGAGCUCCGUUGUGCCCGAACCCUGUCACACUAUAGGGUGCUGUUCCAGAGUUGUGUUGUUUGGGAAUGCAGCACCAAGCGGCUAGUACACUCUGUCCAAGGCUAAAUAUGAGUGAGAGACCGAUAGCAAACAAGUACCCUGAGGGAAAGAUGAAAAGGACUUUGAAAAGAGAGUCAAGAGUGCUUGAAAUUAUCGGGAGGGAAGUAGAUGGGGGCCGGUGAUGCGCCCCAGUCGGAUGUGGAACGCCACAAGCCAGUCCACCGAUCGACUCUGGACGCGGACUGACGCAAAUUGAGAGGUCGGCUGAACCCCGAUCCCCGGGAGCAUCGUCCUUGCGACUGUGGAAGGCCGCGUGCGCCGCCACGGCGUGUCCCGGCACCUGUGCCCUCCAAACUUCGGUCUGCGGGCCUCCCAUUCGUCCCAUCUUGAAACACGGACCAAGGAGUCUAAGGCGCAAGGAAGUUAAUUGAAGGUCCCUUGUGGGUGCACUGCCGACUGACCUUGAUCUUCUGAGAAGGGUUCGAGUGAGACAAUACCUAUCUGGACCCAAAAGAUGGUGAACUAUGCUUGAGCAAGGUGAAGCCAGAAGAAACUCUGGUGGAGCCCCAAAGCUAUAGUGACGUGUAAAUCAUUCGUCUAACUUGGGUAUAGGGGCGAAAGACUAGUCGAAUCGUCUAGUAGCCGAUUCCCUCCGAAGUUUCCCACAGGAUAGCUGGAGUCAUACGUGAGUUCUAUCAGGUAAAGCCAAUGAUUAGAGGCAUCGAGGGCGCAACGCCCUCGACCUAUUCUAAAACUUUAAAUAGGUAGGACGGCGUGGCUGCUUUGUUGAGCCACGCCACGGAAUCGAGAGCUCCAAGUUGGACAUUUUUGGUAAGCAAAACUAACGAUGCCGGAUGAAUCCACUGAGGAAUGUGUAACAACUGACCCGUCAAAUCAACUAGCCCGAAAAAUGGAUAGCGCUGAAGCGCGCGACCUAUACCCGGACGUCGGGGCAAGUGCGAGGCCCCGAUGAGUAUUAGGCGUGGCAGUCGCUGCAAAACCUGUGGCAUGAGCUAGGGUGGAGCGGAUGUCAGUGCAGAUAUUGGUGGUAGUAGCAAAUAUUCAAACGAGAAAUUUGAAGGCCGAAGAGGGGAUAGGUUCCAUGUGAACGACACUUACACAUGGGUUAGUCGAUCCUAAGAGACGGGGAAAGCCCGUCCGACAGAGCGUUUCGCGCGAACUUCGAAAAGAAAUCGGGCUAAAAUUCCUGAACUCGGACGCGGCAGUUGAUGGCAACGUUAGGGAGCUCGGAGAUGUCGGCGGGGGCCUCGAGAAGAGUUAUCUUUUCUGUUUAAUAGCCUGCCCACCCUGGAAACGACUCAAUUGCAGGUAGGGUCCAGCAGCUGGAAGAGCACUGCACGUAACACGGUGUCCGAUGCACCCCUGGCGGCCCUUGAAAAUCCAGAGGACCGAGUGCCGACCACGCCUGAUCGUACUCACAACCGCAUUAGGUCCCCAAGGUGAAUAGCCUCUGGUCGAUGGAACAAUGUAGGUAAGGGAAGUUAGUGAAAUGGAUCUGUAACUUCGGGAAAAGGAUUGGCUCUGAGGGCUGGACAUAGGGGUCCUAGUCCCGAACCCAUCGACUGUCGAUCGACUGCUCGAGCUAUUCACGCAUCGAGAGUGGGUCGCAGCGUGCUGAUCGAGGGACAGACUAGGAACGGCCCCUUUGGGGGCCUUCACCGGGCGUUGAACAGUCAACUCAGAACUGGCACAGACAAGGGAAAUCCGACUGUUUAAUCAAAAUAAAGCAUUGCGAUGGUCCCUGCGGAUGUUAACGCAAUGUGAUUUCUGCCCAGUGCUCUGAAUGUCAAAGUGAAGAAAUUCAACCAAACGAGGGUAAACGGCGGGAGUAACUAUGACUCUCUUAAGGUAGCUAAAUGCCUCGUAAUCUAAUUAGUGACGCGCAUGAAUGGAUUAAUGAGAUUCCCACUGUUCCCAUCUACUAUCCAGCGAAACCACAGCCAACGAAACGGGCUUAGCAGAAUUAGUGGAAAAGAAGACCCUGUUGAGCUUGACUCUAGUCCAACUUUAUGAAAUGACUUGAGAGGUGUAGCAUAAGUGGGAGCUUCAACGCAAGUGAAAUACCACUACUUUUAACGUUAUUUUACUUACUCCGUGAGUCGGAGGCAGGGCAUUGCCCCUCUUUUUGGACCUAAGGCUGCUUCGUGGGCCGAUCCGGACAGAGAACAUUGUCAGGUAGGGAGUUAGGCUGGGAGUGGCACAUCUGUUAAAAGAUAAUACAGGUGUCCUAAGAUGAACUCAACGAGAACAAAGAUCUCGUGUAGAACAGAAGGGUAAAAGCUCGUUUGAUUCCGAUUUUCAGUAAGAAUAUGAACCGUGAAAGUAUGGCCUAACGAUCCUUUAGACCUUCAAAAUUUGAAGCUAGAGGUGUCAGAAAAGUUAGCACAGGAAUAACUGGCAUGUGGCAGCCAAGCAUUCAUAACGACGUUGCUUUUUUAUCCUUCAAUGUCGGCUCUUCUUAUCAUUGUGAAGCAGAAUCACCAAGUGUUGGAUUGUUCACCUGCUAAUAAGGAACAUGAGUUAGGUUUAAACCGUCAUGAGACAAGUUAGUUUUACCCUACUGAUGACAGUGUCACGAUGAUAAUUCAACCUAGUAUGAGAGGAACCGUUGAUUCGCACAAUUGGUCAUCGUGCUUAGUUAAAAAGCCAGUGGCGCGAAGUUACCAUGCGCUGGAUUAUGACUGAACGCCACUAAGUCAGAAUCCGGGCCAGAAGCAACGCAUGCGCCCGCUGCCCGAUUGCUGACCUGCAGUAGGGGCCUCGGCCCCUAAGGGGACAUGUCGUAGGCUAAGCAAGCGCGGCGGAUAUGCCGCGAGGGCCACCUUGAAGUACAAUUUCUACGUAGCGACGGGUUGAAUCCCUUGCAGACGACUUAAAUACGCGUUGGGGUAUUGUAAGUGGCAGAGUGGCCUUGCUGCCAUGAUCCACUAAAAUUCAGCC